UGUGCUUAUGCAUUUGAGAAAUCUUUGGUAAACACUUACUCGCUUGCAUUUGGUAUUUUGUGUUUAUAUUACUUUUCGAAGUCUUGCCAUUUUGAGUUCAUGCAAAAAUAUUUGAUGAUGAUGGAUGAAGGUGGUGAAGAACCACUGGCUGCCAUAAAGUCUGCGCACUAAACUAAGUUUGGUCUUGCAAUAUUUGUAUAAGAUAUGAUCCGUUAUUAAAUCUAUUCAAACUCCUGAAUAUAGUAUGUCCAACUGUACCUAGGAUCUACUAAAUUUUUAUUCAAUAAUUUUAAAUCGUUUUUAAUGUCUGGUGUAGCCAUACAUCUGACCAUGGGAUGAAUUGUCUGUUUUUGAUAUAGGGUUGAUGUUGCUAUUACACCGAAAUAUUCACUGAAUGUAUUGAUCGUUGAUUUCCUUUGGCUUGUUUCCAGACAGAUGAUUUGUAGGACCAUAUCAUUAUCUGUGGAUUUGGACGUGUUGGCCAGAUCAUUGCGCAACUUCUUUCAUAACAACUUAUUCCAUUUGUUGCUCUUGAUGUGAGGAGGUUCAUUGUCUGACAUGCUGCUUGUAUUCCUGGCCAUGAGGUGCUCCAUAAAGUUGGUGCUGAAAGAGCAUAUGCAGCAGCAAUAACUUUAGAUACCCCCGGUGCAAACUAUAGAACAGUGUGGGCUUUGAGCAAGUAUUUCCUAAAUGUCAAGACAUUUGUCUAUGCUCAUGACGUUGAUCAUGGCCUUAUUUUGGAAAAGGCGGAAGCAACAACGGUUGUCCCCGAGACC